rnacentral:rRNA from 1 species
AGAGUUUGAUCCUGGCUCAGGAUGAACGCUAGCUACAGGCUUAGCACAUGCAAGUCGAGGGGAAACGACAUCGAAAGCUUGCUUUUGAUGGGCGUCGACCGGCGCACGGGUGAGUAACGCGUAUCCAACCUGCCCAUCACUUGGGGAUAACCUUGCGAAAGUAAGACUAAUACCCAAUGAUAUCUCUAGAAGACAUCUGAAAGAGAUUAAAGAUUUAUCGGUGAUGGAUGGGGAUGCGUCUGAUUAGCUUGUUGGCGGGGUAACGGCCCACCAAGGCUACGAUCAGUAGGGGUUCUGAGAGGAAGGUCCCCCANAUUGGAACUGAGACACGGUCCAAACUCCUACGGGAGCA